rnacentral:rRNA from 1 species
GACGAACGCUGGCGGCGUGCUUAACACAUGCAAGUCGAACGGAAAGGCCCUGCUUUUGUGGGGUGCUCGAGUGGCGAACGGGUGAGUAACACGUGAGUAACCUGCCCUUGACUUUGGGAUAACUUCAGGAAACUGGGGCUAAUACCGGAUAGGAGCUCCUGCUGCAUGGUGGGGGUUGGAAAGUUUCGGCGGUUGGGGAUGGACUCGCGGCUUAUCAGCUUGUUGGUGGGGUAGUGGCUUACCAAGGCUUUGACGGGUAGCCGGCCUGAGAGGGUGAACGGCCACAUUGGGACUGAGGUACGGCCCAGACUCCUACGGGAGGCAGCAGUGGGGAAUAUUGCACAAUGGGCGGAAGCCUGAUGCAGCAACGCCGCGUGCGGGAUGACGGCCUUCGGGUUGAAAACCGCUUUCGCCUGUGACGAAGCGUGAGUGACGGUAAUGGGUAAAGAAGCACCGGCUAACUACGUG